GCCUAUGUCGGAUUAGCUAGUUGGUGAGGUAAUGGCUCACCAAGGCAGCGAUCCGUAGCUGGUCUGAGAGGAUGAUCAGCCACAUCGGGACUGAGACACGGCCCGAACUCCUACGGGAGGCAGCAGUGGGGAAUAUUGGACAAUGGGGGCAACCCUGAUCCAGCCAUGCCGCGUGUGUGAAGAAGGCCCUCGGGUUGUAAAGCACUUUCAGCGAGGAAGAACGCCUAGUGGUUAAUACCCAUUAGGAAAGACAUCACUCGCAGAAGAAGCACCGGCUAACUCCGUGCCAGCAGCCGCGGUAAUACGGAGGGUGCAAGCGUUAAUCGGAAUUACUGGGCGUAAAGCGCGCGUAGGUGGCUUGAUAAGCCGGUUGUGAAAGCCCCGGGCUCAACCUGGGAACGGCAUCCGGAACUGUCAGGCUAGAGUGCAGGAGAGGAAGGUAGAAUUCCCGGUGUAGCGGUGAAAUGCGUAGAGAUCGGGAGGAAUACCAGUGGCGAAGGCGGCCUUCUGGACUGACACUGACACUGAGGUGCGAAAGCGUGGGUAGCAAACAGGAUUAGAUACCCUGGUAGUCCACGCCGUAAACGAUGUCGACCAGCCGUUGGGUGCCUAGCGCACUUUGUGGCGAAGUUAACGCGAUAAGUCGACCGCCUGGGGAGUACGGCCGCAAGGUUAAAACUCAAAUGAAUUGACGGGGGCCCGCACAAGCGGUGGAGCAUGUGGUUUAAUUCGAUGCAACGCGAAGAACCUUACCUACCCUUGACAUCGACAGAAGCCGAGAGAGAUCUUGGUGUGCCUUCGGGAACUGUCAGACAGGUGCUGCAUGGCUGUCGUCAGCUCGUGUUGUGAAAUGUUGGGUUAAGUCCCGUAACGAGCGCAACCCUUGUCCUUAUUUGCCAGCGCGUAAUGGCGGGAACUCUAAGGAGACUGCCGGUGACAAACCGGAGGAAGGUGGGGACGACGUCAAGUCAUCAUGGCCCUUACGGGUAGGGCUACACACGUGCUACAAUGGCCGGUACAAAGGGCAGCGAGCUCGCGAGAGUCAGCGAAUCCCUUAAAGCCGGUCUCAGUCCGGAUCGGAGUCUGCAACUCGACUCCGUGAAGUCGGAAUCGCUAGUAAUCGU
rnacentral:rRNA from 1 species